UGCACCGUGGGUCAGGUAUGCAGCAGAGGUGAGGCUGGUUUGUUUGGCUCUCAGCGCGUUCUCGGGAAGGCUGUUCCGGUCUGUGUGGUGAUCUUCCGGGUGGCAGCCGGUUUUGGGAUUCUCUCGCAUACUGGAAGGCUCAAUAUUGAUUGCUCGGUGUGGCGUCUAGUUUGUGUUGUGAGCUGUUUGCGUUUAAGGGCUUUGUGCCCCUGAUUUGUGUCCUGAUCAUCGUGACUGCAGACCCUCCGGUGAGCUGACGAGUGUCUACCUCACAUUGUUUGUGGCUGUCCCCUCCAAACACUUUGGAGCUACAGCGUGCAGUCUAACCCUCCACUGUGUACUGUUCACCUGUGUGGGUUGCGGUGGUUGCUGUCUCCUAUAUCCACGUGUAAUCCUGACAUCCCUUUCUU